rnacentral:snoRNA from 1 species
CACCAAAGCCUUUUGUCAGGGUGAUACUCUAGACUGGUCUUCCAGUCAUACCCACAAUGUUGCCUGUUACGUCUUUGGAAGAAAAAUAGUUUUCGUCCGUGUUCCCAGACUUGUCUGGUUCUUCAGUCGUUUUGAUUGUUGAUUUGUUCACACUUGUCUUCCGUUUUGGUUGACUUCUUAGAAAACUAUCGGGAUCUUUUUGAGUUGAAGCUUUUCGAGGUUCGUCCUCCUUCAUGAUUAGCUUCGUAGUAUAGAAACCGACAUCU